rnacentral:lncRNA from 1 species
GAGACCAUAGAGACCCAUAAAGGUGAUCAGUGGGAGUGACCCCAUAGAGAUACAAGUGGAGACCCAUAGGAAACGCCCCAUAGAAAUACAUGGAGACCCAUAGAGACCCAUAGAGAUACAUGGAGACCCAUAGAGACCCAUAGGAAACAAUGGAGACCGCAUAGAGGAUACAGUGGAAGACGCCAUAGAGACCAUAUGGGGUGUCUAUGGGGGGAUAUGGGGCUCUAUGGGGUCUCUAUGGGGUUCUAUGAGGAGAUAUGGGGGGAUAUGGGGGGAUAUAGGGGGAGAUGGGGUGUCUAUGGGGCUCUAUGGGGUGUCUAUGGGGAGAUAUGGGUGUCUAUGGGGCUCUAUGGGGUGUCUAUGGGGAGAUAUGGGGCUCUAUGGGGUGUCUAUGAGGCUUUAUUGGGCUCUAUGGGGCUCUAUGGGGUGUCUAUGGGGGAAUAUGGGGCAGAUAUGGGGCUCUAUGGGGCACUAUGGGGUGUCUAUACGGCUCUAUGGGGUGUCUAUGGGGCUGUAUUGGAUUCUAUGGGUCUCUAUGGGGCUGUAUUGGAUUCUAUGGGUCUCUAUGGGGCUGUAUUGGAUUCUAUGGGUCUCUAUGGGGCUGUAUUGGAUUCUAUGGGGUCUCUAUGUGUCUCUAUGGGUCCCUAUGGGUCUCUAUGGGUCUCUAUGGGUCUCUAUGGGUCCCUAUGGGUCUCUAUGGGUCUCUAUG